AAAGCUUGGAAUUCUUGGAAUGUAGAACUAAUGUCAAUAAUUGCAAUAUAGAACGAUCGUAAAGCAAAAAGAAAGAAAAUAAGAACACAUAGAUUUUACGUGAAAAACCCUUUUGGGAAAAAAUUACGGGUAGAGGAGAAAAAAAUUCAUUAAUGUCAAUUUCGAAUGAUAUAAAGGCGUUUAGACUACAUUUAUUAUAGGUUAAAAAAAUCUUAUUCUA
rnacentral:lncRNA from 1 species